rnacentral:rRNA from 1 species
UUUCGCAAUGCCCGAAAGGGUGACGAAGCGACGCCGCGUGGGUGAGGAAGGCCCUCGGGUUGUAAAGCCCUGUCAGGAGUUAAGAAAUGUAAGUGCGCUAAUAUCGCAUUUAUUUGACGAAGGCUCCAAAGGAAGCCACGGCUAACUCUGUGCCAGCAGCCGCGGUAAUACAGAGGUGGCAAGCGUUGUUCGGAAUUAUUGGGCGUAAAGAGCACGUAGGUGGGUUUGUAAGUCAGAUGUGAAAGCCUUCUGUUCAACGGAAGAAUUGCAUCUGAAACUACAAGUCUUGAGUGUAGGAGGGGAGGAUGGAACUUCUGGUGGAGCGGUGAAGUGCGUAGAUAUCAGAAGGAACGCCGGCGGCGAAAGCGAUUCUCUGGCCUAUUACUGACACUCAGUGUGCGAAAGCUAGGGGAGCAAACGGGAUUAGAUACCCCGGUAGUCCUAGCCGUAAACGAUGGGCACUAAGUAGAGGGGUUUUAA